rnacentral:lncRNA from 1 species
GCCUCCUGUCAACACCAUCACAAGCUGAGUUCAUCCGACCUCAAGGACUCUGCACGUGCUGGUCCUUCUUCCUGGAUUGUGCCCAAUCUCCACCCCCCUUCCAAUGUCAGUUCAUGAAUAUCCAUUUUAUAAAAUUUGGAGAAUAUUGUCAAGCAAAAAGAGAAAAUCGAAAUCACCUAGAAUCCUACCAUCCAGAAGAACCACUUGGACAUUUUCGCUCCUGGAAUGAGUUCUUGUAUGUCUUCCAGAACGCAUUUGCGCAUGGACCAGCCUCUGUGCAUGUGUGUCCAUUUGACUCUGUGGCUCCUAACACCUACGAGAGACCUGAGAGGCCCUUGGAAAGGAGUAACUGAGAGCAGCACGGUCCCUAACCAAGAACAGACACAUGUGCAGGCCGGAUUCUGUGUUUCCAAGAAUUCUGCUUCCAGCUUUGGUGGACUAGGUUGUUUCAGAACUACUAUUCCACUUACAACAACUAGGAAAAUGAAACAAAAUCAGUUUGAAAGUAUUGGAAAGCUACUAAGGUGGUGAGGAAUCUUGGACCAUGACCCAAGAGAGAGGUGAUCUGCGCUUGUUAGCACCCCUGGCCUACAUACCUGCCUAAGCAAAAGUGAGUCCUCUUGGAGGAAGAUAACAAAAUCCAGAGCUUUAGAAUAGUUCUUCAAUGUCAAAAUCUCAAUACAAAAUAACCAGGGAUACAAGAAGACAAGGCAUAAUCGAAAAUCAAGAGAAAAAUGCGUGAUAGAUACAAAUGCACAAGGGACCCAAAUAAGAGUUAUCAGACGUAACCUUAAAACAUACAUGAUUACUAUGUUCAAGUAAUUAAAAGACAAGACUAAGAAUGUGGGCAGGGAACUGCAAACUGUAAAGAAUAAUCAAAUAAAAAUUUUAAAACUGAAAAAAAUAAACGAAAUUAAGAGUUCAAUGGAUGGAUUUAAUAGCAAAUUGCACACAACUUAAAAAAUUUGUAAGCUGGAAGGUAAGUCAGAAGAAAAUAUCUAGACUGAAACAUGAAGAAAUAAAAGAAUAGAAAAUAAAGAAAGGAGAUAUGCGUGAAAGGAGAGUGUGUGAUAAAUAUGGGAAAACAUCUGUAAUUAGAGUUGCAGAAGAAGAAAAGAAACAUUUGAAGAGAUAAUGACAGAAUUUUUCAUACAAAAAGUUUUUAAGCAGUUUUGUUUGUAUAAAAUUAGCUUCAUUGAUGACAUCAUUUGGCUCUGUGUAAAUUUCUGCCUUCGGUCAUUUUUGGAGCAAUAGCUCACCUAUGAAUUGUGUGGAGAAUGAAUUUCAUAUAUGGUGCUAUAUUUAUAACUCCAGAUUCCUUUAUUUAUUCAUUCUGGUCAAUGCAGCCACUCCGUUCAGUGGUAAUAUGUAUAAAAAUUUUCUAUAAACAUUGGUGUUUAGCAGCUUUAAAAUAUCACUUACUAUUAAAGCUGUGUACUCUCUGAUAAAAUUUUACAUAGAGACUCACACAAAAAAGUAGACUUUUAUAUAUUUUGUUUUUGAAACAGUCCAGGAAAUACAAAAUAUGUUGAUAUAAUUAGGAGCAUUUUACUUUUUCAUCUAACUCAUGUGUCAGCAAAGUUUUUCUGUAAAGGGCCAGCGAGUACAUAUUCUGAGCCUUAAGGGCUCUUAUAGUUUUUGUCAUAACUACUCAACUCUGCCACUGUAGCGUGAAAGGAGCCAUAGACAAUACCUAAACGGAUCAGUGUGGCCGUGUUCCAAUAACAUUUUAUUUACAAACUUUAUCAUUUUAACCAUUUUUAAGUUUAGAGUUCAGAGGUAUGAAAUACCUUCAUACUGUUGUGCAAUCGUCACCACCAUCCACCUCCACGGCUCUUUUCAUCUUGUAAAACUGACACUCUAAACCCAAACAACAAUAACACCCCAUUGCACCUUCUCCUCCGUCCCUGGCAACCACAAUUCUGCUUUUUGUCUCUGUGAUCCUGAGUACUCUAAGUAUUUCAUACAAAUGGAAUUAUGUAGUAUUUGUCCUUUUUGUGACUGGCUUAUUUCACAUAGCAUAAUGACCUGAAGGUUCAUCCAUCCUGUAGCAUAUGUCAGAAAUUCCUUCCUCUUCAAGGCUGAAUAAUAUUCCAUUGUAUGUGUAUACCACAUUUUGUUUGUCCAUUCAUCUGUCAAUGGACACAUAGGUCGCCCAUGUUUUAGCUAUUGUGAAUAACAUUGCUAUGAACACGAGUGCACAUAGUGUCUUAGAUGACCAUACAUGGAGAGGGUUGUUAUUGAGGAUAAUGGAUAGAAGUUCAUACUUCAAAUUGUCUUGAGCAGUCUCUAAUUCUCUGGGUUGACUUCAAGGCAUCGUUGUUGGAAUCUCAUGUGUCGGUCAAGGAGCUUGUACUGGCUGUCGUGGCGCUGUUACCAUUUCCUUAAUGUGACCAUGUGCUGACAUUAACAGUGUUAUCUUCAAUCUUAAUAUUCUUUGCAGGAAUCUUUUAAAGCCAUUUGUCCAUCUCAUCAUGGUUUAUUUGUUAAAACUAAACAAUAUUAUCUUUAAGUCCCUUUAAUUGGGUAUACGCAAAUGGUACUUAGUUACCCAAAGGAUAAGCCUCUGAGAUGAUGAUGAGCUUCCAGUCCGACCUCAGGACACCUUGGUUGACAUCUGUUUAAUGUGACUGACUAACAUAUAGACCUAACAGUUUUAGUAAAUAUUUGUAAAGCUUAAUUUCCUUUCAAAUUUUUAAUUAAAGAGAUGUAGAAGGUCUAUUUCCUUCUUCCCAUCCCCCAGUGAAUCAUGACUUAGCACUUGGGAGAUUGACCCUCCACUCUAACCAUGGCUCUAAAGCUUAGAGGACAUCUGAGCCAAUGGUACCCUGUUCUAUUAAAAUACUUUUCUUAUCUGAGAAGUCUAGAACAUUUAACUAUGUUCCCACAAGCUGUGUAAGCGGUAGCUCUCAGUCCUGUUGAGACAUGCACUCUCUGGAGAGUUUGAUCAAUUCUGUGGAACCCAUCAUAAAAAAGGAACAUAAAUUCUCUCUCCCUCUCUCCCUUCUUCCCUCCCUCUCUUCCUCCUUGCUUCCAUCUUUCCUUCUUUCUUUCUUUCCUCCUUUCCUUCCUUUCUUCCUUCCUCUCUCUCCCCCUCCUCCUUUCCUUCCUCUCUUGCUUCUUAGUUCAGUCAAAAAAUCUUUGGAGUCAGGGGCCUGGGUGAAGAAGAUGUGUAUGGCAUCUCUGGAGGCUGCCAGGGACCCACAUAAGGAAAUUAUGCCAAUGUGGGUAGCAUCUCAGAGGCAGGGAGAGGGCCACACAAGGAAUAUUUGCUAAGUGGGGUGGAGGAGGAUUGAGCAAAUAAGGACAUAUAUUGAGGAUAAUGGGAUCUAGGCUUCUAGAUCCUAGAAGAAAGGACUUACAAACAUGGGAAGAGGGAAAGCUAGAAUGAAAUCUGUGGUGUUGGAUUGGAAGCAGAGAUACCAAAAUGAACUCGCGUUUUUAAAAUAUGUAUACAGAUAGAUAGAUAGACACAGAAAUAAAUAUAGAUGUAAAUGUUUGUAUGUGUGUCUCCAUAUACAUACAUGUAUCCUUGGAUGUGUCCACUGAGAAGGCCUGGGAGCCCCAACCCUUCAAUAACAAUGAAGUGCCUAGUGCCCAGAUCUUGAUUUCUAAAUACCAUCCUCCUCUAAUAGGUGUUAGAGCUCAGCAGAGAAAUGGCCAGUUCAAGGCUGGGACAGGGAAAGCACAAAAUGAGUCUGGAACAUCUGUUAUGCCAGAAAGUUAAAAAGUGCUCAAAAAAUGGUGGGGACACAUCAAAAGGCACAGAAGUUAGUUUGAGGGGCUCACACCAGCCAAAUCUGGAACACCACAGCAUCAAAAUAAAUAAUGAUAAUGCUGUGUCAUAAUUCUUUGAAAAAGCCUGAGCCUACACUUACGUAACGAAAUAAAUAAUAAACAAAUGUGGAAAAGAGAAAGCUUCACCCUACAGCAGAAUGUCAACAAUAAAUGUAGAAACAGAUAUUCAAACCGUUAGGGAAAGUUUGCUGACUGAUGAAUGAAUAAAUAAAUGAGACUAUAACAGCAACAGCGAAAAGACAAUCUGGGGGAAGCCACACUCCUUGAGUGUCCACUGACCAAAGAUAGGACAAUUUGAAUAUCAAUAAAGACAAUGUCUGUAAUCGGUUACAACACAUCAAAGAGUUCAUGGAUUUAAAGAAACUUAGAAGAGUAUCAUUGGCUGCUUCUGAAGGAUUCUAGGAAACCACCCCACUGUUUUGAAAGUGGGUAAGUGAGGCGAAAGAACCAAGCCUUCCUCUCGCCUGUCCUGUAUGAUGUAAGCCUCAGGUAAGCAAAGAGUUGCUGAGAGAACUUCCCCUUCUUGGGCGUAUCUUAGGUCAUAAACAAAGAAAGAACUAGAAAAGCAUCCUUCGGCAGCCCCUGAUGAAUUAAUGGAGCCAGACAGUGAACCCUGAUCACUGCUAAUAUCACAAAAAGGGAAACAACCAUACAUUAUGCAUCUCCUGGUGGAAGCACACCACACCCCCCAGGAAGUCAGCUCGCUAGGAGAAAAUAAACCUGCCUUUGACCACGACUCUCCAUCCCACUUCCAAAAAAACCAAUUAUGAGACAAACCAGGAGACACAAACAUCAACACAGAUAUUUUUUGAUAUUAAGGAAUUACUGUUAACUGUUUUUAACUGUUGAUGAUAAUGGUAUUGCUUAUAUUUUUAGAAGCAUCUUUAUCUUUUAGAGAUGUCUAGUGAAAUAUUUAUAGGUGAAAUGAUAUAGAUUCGAUGCAAUCCUUUCAGAAUUUUCUCUGGAAUACUUGAGGUGGAGGAAAAAGUUAAAAUAUGUAUAAAUAAGAUUGGCCGGGAGCUGAUAAUCGUUGAAGAUGGGUGAUUUGCAUACUGAGUGCUUUACCGUUCUUCUUCCAUUUGCUUUGCAUAGGUUUGAAAUUUCUCAUAAUAAAACUUUUUUUUUUCAAAACUAGCAUGCUGGGGCUGGCCUGGUGGCACAGCCUGUUAAGUUCGCACUUUCCGCUUCGGCAGCCUGGAGUUGGCUGGUUUGGAUCCUGGGUGCGGACCUAUGCACUGCUCAUCAAGUCAGGCUGUGGCAGGCAUCUCACACAUAAAGUAGAGGAAGAUGGGCACAGAUGUUGGCUGAGGGUCAGUCUUCCUCAGCACCCACACACACAAAAAGAGGAGGAUGGGUGGUAGAUGUUAGCUCAGGGCUAAUAUUCCUCAAAAAAAAAAACCAAAAAAAACAAAAAAACAAAACUAGCAUGCUGUCUGAAACACAAGGCCUCAUAUGGUAUUCCCAGGGCACCAAGGCUAAGAGGAUGACUGGGGACGGAAGUCCAGCCCUGCCUGGCCUCUCUUGACAAGCCAGUUGCCUUGGAGGGCAGUGGUGUCAGCAGAAAGAAGGAGCAUGUUUUUUUUUUUAAAAAAAAAUUCAGUUAGAGAGGUCAUCUUUUUGCUAUUCCUAGUGGGAAAUCAUCCUUUAAAAAUUUGUAUAAAG